rnacentral:lncRNA from 12 species
CAUCUCCUUAAUGAUAUUUCUAUUUCUUGAGGCCCAGAAUAGUCUUUUGUUCCUUUUGAAGGGAGCCAAGGGCAUAGCUGGCAAGAGCUGAGUUCUGAGCUCCAGACCUUGCAUAUCUCCACAGCCCUAUCCUGAGCAUGACCCUUAAUUUCCCUGGGCCUCAUGUAUACAAUGGGAGAAGCACCUGUCUGUUUUACUCCUGAAGUGAAGAUCUAGUGAGAUGAAGGAUGUAUGAGCAUGUUUCCUAAACUGUAAAGUAUUGCAUAAAAUAUAAGAAAUUGUUUUCCUUUCAGAACCCUCCAGACCUUCGCACAAACACACAUUCUUGGCAUGCAGUAGAUAUGGCUGACUGAUUGCCUCUGCCCUCACCUCUCUCCUUCCUUCUUCACCCCACAGCCUCCCAGCCACAGCACUUACCUGGAUCCAUGUUUAUCAGCCAAGCACAGGGAGUGACAAAAGGAACACCUAUGGUUCAACAGGAAAAACAAGACGAGCCUUGGACUUUCUCUCCCCAAUUCGGGCCAAGGCGCUUGAAGGGCAGGAGCUGGCGUGAAGGUCCCUCUGAAGAGGAUCCUGCGCACCUGGAUCCCUUUGGCCCUCAGGGAGCCCCUCUGCCUGGCCUGGCAGAGGCACCGGGGCAUGGCCUGCAGUGGUGGCAGGGCAGGCGGGCAGGUGCGUGUGCAGAUCCACGGGCACAUGGCACUUAGACCCACACCGUGCUCAUGAGAGGCUCAAGCAACACACACAGGUGGAUGACACCCACACAAGCAGAAACAGAGGCAUAGAUUCGAAUUCAGUACACAUGCACACAUAGAGAAAGCACAACCACACACACCUACAACACACCUGCAGAGAGCCCCUGUCCCCGGGCCUGGCAGCAGAGCCUUACCUGAGAGCACAGAGCAAGGAGCCGAAGAAGUUGGAGUCUCUGUCUGCCCUCAAGUGUAUUUGUAUAGGGUGGGGAGGGGCGAGAUGGGUACACCGGGAGGGGCAUGGGCAGAGGGUGUGGAGGAACAGGGGGGAUGGGCUAACCUUUAUCUGGGCAAAAUGCAGCUGGAAGCAGGAUGUGUGGGGGUGAGGGGCAGGGAGCAGGUUUGGGGGAAGGGGGAACAACCCUUUACCCCAACCGGCUAGGAAGGAGGUGCCAUAAAACCAAGGAGGGUCCCAAGCCUCGCAGGCAACCGUUGGGCUCCCAGUGCUGGCAAAACUGAAGCCUGCUGUCGCCAGGCCUCCCGAUAAAGAGCCUGGCUGGGCUGGCUGCACCUGAACUGCAUUACAUUCAUUUUUAAAAAGUAACAUGUCCGAUUUAAAAAGAAAGAAAAGGGGAUCCCUGGGUGGCGCAGCGGUUUGGCGCCUGCCUUUGGCCCAGGGCGCGAUCCUGGAGACCCGGGAUCGAGUCCCACGUCGGGCUCCCGGUGCAUGGAGCCUGCUUUUUCCCUCUGCCUGUGUCUCUGCCUCUCUCUCUCUCUGUCUCUAUGAAUAAAUAAAUAAAGUCUUCUAAAAAAAGGAAUAUA